rnacentral:rRNA from 1 species
AUAUUGGCGAGAGACCGAUAGCGAACAAGUACCGUGAGGGAAAGAUGAAAAGCACUUUGGAAAGAGAGUUAAACAGUACGUGAAAUUGUUGAAAGGGAAACGCUUGAAGUCAGUCGCGUUGCUUGGGACUCAGCCUUGCUAUUGCUUGGUGUACUUCCUUUGUAAUGGGUCAACAUCAAUUUUGGUUGGUGGAUAAAAGUUGAAGGAAUGUGGCAUCUUAGGAUGUGUUAUAGCCUUCUUCUGUAUACACUGGCUGGGAUUGAGGUCUGCAGCACGCCUUUAUGGCCGGGGUUCGCCCACGUAUCGUGCUUAGGAUGUUGGCAUAGUGGCUUUAAGCGACCCGUCUUGAAACACGGACC